ACAGGCUUAACACAUGCAAGUCGAGGGGUAGCAGGGUAGCAAUACCACUGACGACCGGCGCACGGGUGAGUAACACGUAUCCAACCUUCCCAUAACUCGGGGAUAGCCUUUCGAAAGAAAGAUUAAUACCCGAUAGUACUUUUUCAAGGCAUCUUGAGAAAGUUAAAGAUUUAUUGGUUAUGGAUGGGGAUGCGUUCCAUUAGAUAGUUGGUGAGGUAACGGUUCACCAAGUCUUCGAUGGAUAGGGGUUCUGAGAGGAAGGUCCCCCACAUUGGUACUGAGACACGGACCAAACUCCUACGGGAGGCAGCAGUGAGGAAUAUUGGUCAAUGGGCGAGAGCCUGAACCAGCCAAGUAGCGUGAAGGAUGACGG
rnacentral:rRNA from 1 species